rnacentral:rRNA from 1 species
UACGAAGGGGGGCUAGCGUUGCUCGGAAUCACUGGGGCGUAAAGGGUGCGUAGGCGGGGUCUUUUAAGUCAGGGGGUGAAAUCCCAAGGCUCAACCUUGGAACUGCCUUUGAUACUGGGGAUCUCGAGUCCGGAAGAGGUUGGUGGAACUGCGAGUGUAGAGGUGAAAUUCGUAGAUAUUCGCAAGAACACCAGUGGCGAAGGCGGCCAACUGGUCCGGUACUGACGCUGAGGUGCGAAAGCGUGGGGAGCAAACAGG